ACAUGCACUUCCAUCAAAGCGAAGUGUGGCCUCAUAUCGUACUAUUUUUUCCAAGAUGACCAAGGCCCUAUUUGAGAAGCCAUACACCACACAUAGCAUUAGAAGGUCAGCAGCACGCUGGGCAGCCAGAUGUGGUGCUGAUGAUAGCACAAUCAAAAGGGCUGGUCGCUGGAAGUCGAGCAGCUUUGAACUUUACACCCAAGACGCAA